UACGUAGGGUGCAAGCGUUGUCCGGAAUCACUGGGCGUAAAGGGCGCGUAGGCGGCUCAUGAAGGCUGUGGUGAAAGUCCGGGGGCUCAACCUCGGAUCGGCCGUGGCGACUCGUGGGCUGGAGCACUGUAGAGGCGGGUGGAAUUCCGGGUGUAGCGGUGGAAUGCGUAGAGAUCCGGAAGAACACCAGUGGCGAAGGCGGCUCACUGGCUCAUUACUGACGCUCAGGCGCGAUAGCGUGGGGGAUCAAACAGGGAUUAGAAACCCCU
rnacentral:rRNA from 1 species